AUUGAACGCUGGCGGCAGGCCUAACACAUGCAAGUCGAGCGGAUGAAGGGAGCUUGCUCCCGGAUUCAGCGGCGGACGGGUGAGUAAUGCCUAGGAAUCUGCCCGGCAGUGGGGGAUAACGUCCGGAAACGGGCGCUAAUAUCGCAUCCGUCAUGAGGGUGAAAGGGGGGGAUCUUUGGACCUAACGCUAUCAGCUGAGCCUAGGACGGAUUAGCUAGUUGGUGGGGUAAAGGCGUACCAAGGCGACGAUCCGUAACUGGUCUGAGAGGAUGAUCAGUCACACUGGAACUGAGACACGGUCCAGACUCCUACGGGAGGCAGCAGUGGGGAAUAUUGCGCAAUGGGCGAAAGCCUGAUCCAGCCAUGCCGCGUGUGUGAAGAAGGUCUUCGGAUUGUAAAGCACUGUUAGUAGGGAGGAAGGACAGUAAGUUAAUCCCUUCCUGUUUUGACGUUACCAGCAGAAUAAGCACCGGCUAACUUCGUG
rnacentral:rRNA from 1 species